UACGAAGGGGGCUAGCGUUGCUCGGAUUGACUGGGCGUAAAGGGCGCGUAGGCGGUUUGUACAGUCAGACGUGAAAUUCCUGGGCUUAACCUGGGGACUGCAUUUGAUACUGAUUGGCUUGAAUGCAGGAGAGGAUAGCGGAAUUCCCAGUGUAGAGGUGAAAUUCGUAGAUAUUGGGAAGAACACCGGUGGCGAAGGCGGCUAUCUGGACUGUGAUUGACGCUGAGGCGCGAAAGCGUGGGGAGCAAACAGG
rnacentral:rRNA from 1 species